UUGUCCGGAAUCAUUGGGCGUAAAGCGCGUGUAGGCGGCCAGGUAAGUCCGUUCUGAAAGCCCGGGGCUCAACCCCGGGAGGCGGAUGGAUACUGCUUGGCUCGAGUCCGGAAGAGGCGAGUGGAAUUCCCGGUGUAGCGGUGAAAUGCGCAGAUAUCGGGAGGAACACCAAUGGCGAAGGCAGCUCGCUGGGACGGUACUGACGCUGAGACGCGAAAGCGUGGGGAGCAAACAGG
rnacentral:rRNA from 1 species